GACAGAGGGGGCAAGCGUUGCUCGGAAUUACUGGGCGUAAAGGGCGCGUAGGCGGGAUGGCAAGUCGGUCGUGAAAUCCUUCGGCUCAACCGAAGAACGUCGAUCGAUACUGCUGUUCUUGAGGGUUGCAGAGGAGACUGGAAUUCCCGGUGUAGCGGUGAAAUGCGUAGAUAUCGGAAGGAACACCUGUGGCGAAAGCGGCUCACUGGACCAUAACUGACGCUGAGGCGCGAAAGCUAGGGGAGCAAACAGG
rnacentral:rRNA from 1 species